GAUGAACGCUGGCGGCGUGCCUAAUACAUGCAAGUCGAGCGAACAGACGAGGAGCUUGCUCCUCUGACGUUAGCGGCGGACGGGUGAGUAACACGUGGAUAACCUACCUAUAAGACUGGGAUAACUUCGGGAAACCGGAGCUAAUACCGGAUAAUAUAUUGAACCGCAUGGUUCAAUAGUGAAAGACGGUUUUGCUGUCACGUAUAGAUGGAUCCGCGCCGCAUUAGCUAGUUGGUAAGGUAACGGCUUACCAAGGCGACGAUGCGUAGCCGACCUGAGAGGGUGAUCGGCCACACUGGAACUGAGACACGGUCCAGACUCCUACGGGAGGCAGCAGUAGGGAAUCUUCCGCAAUGGGCGAAAGCCUGACGGAGCAACGCCGCGUGAGUGAUGAAGGUCUUCGGAUCGUAAAACUCUGUUAUUAGGGAAGAACCAAUGUGUAAGUAACUAUGCCCGUCUUGACGGUACCUAAUCAGAAAGCCACGGCUAACUACGUG
rnacentral:rRNA from 1 species